GACGAACGCUGGCGGCGUGCUUAACACAUGCAAGUCGAACGCUGAAGCUCAGCUUGCUGGGUGGCUGAGUGGCGAACGGGUGAGUAACACGUGAGUAACCUGCCCUCUUCUUUGGGAUAACGCCCGGAAACGGGUGCUAAUACUGGAUAUUCACUGAUUCUCGCAUGGGGGUUGGUGGAAAGGUUUUUUCUGGUGGGGGAUGGGCUCGCGGCCUAUCAGCUUGUUGGUGGGGUGAUGGCCUACCAAGGCUUUGACGGGUAGCCGGCCUGAGAGGGUGACCGGUCACAUUGGGACUGAGAUACGGCCCAGACUCCUACGGGAGGCAGCAGUGGGGAAUAUAGCACAAUGGGCGAAAGCCUGAUGCAGCGACGCCGCGUGAGGGAUGGAGGCCUUCGGGUUGUAAACCUCUUUCGCUCAUGGUCAAGCCGCAGCUUUGGGUUGUGGUGAGGGUAGUGGGUAAAGAAGCGCCGGCUAACUACGUG
rnacentral:rRNA from 1 species